CCUACGGGAGGCAGCAGUGAGGAAUAUUGGUCAAUGGACGAGAGUCUGAACCAGCCAAGUAGCGUGAAGGAUGACUGCCCUAUGGGUUGUAAACUUCUUUUAUAUGGGAAUAAAAUGUUCCACGUGUGGGAUUUUGUAUGUACCAUAUGAAUAAGGAUCGGCUAACGCCGUGCCAGCAGCCGCGGUAAUACGGAGGAUCCGAGCGUUAUCCGGAUUUAUUGGGUUUAAAGGGCGCGUAGGUGGGAUGUUAAGUCAGUUGUGAAAGUUUGGGGCUCAACCGUAAAAUUGCAGUUGAAACUGGCAGUCUUGAGUACAGUAGAGGUGGGCGGAAUUCGUGGUGUAGCGGUGAAAUGCUUAGAUAUCACGAAGAACUCCGAUUGCGAAGGCAGCUUACUGGACUGCAACUGACACUGAGGCUCGAAAGUGUGGGUAUCAAACAGGAUUAGAUACCCUAGUAGUC
rnacentral:rRNA from 1 species